rnacentral:rRNA from 1 species
AUUGAACGCUGGCGGCAGGCCUAACACAUGCAAGUCGAACGAGUGGCGGACGGGUGAGUAAUGUCUGGGAAACUGCCCGAUGGAGGGGGGUAACUACUGGAAACGGUAGCUAAUACCGCAUACCAUCGGAUGUGCCCAGAUGGGAUUAGCGUUUAGGUGAGGUAACGGCUCACCUAGGCGACGGUCCCUAGCUGGUCUGAGAGGAUGACCAGCCACACGGGAACUGAGACACGGGCCAGCGGCCUACGGGAGGCAGCAGUGGGGAAUAUUGCACAAUGGGCGCAAGCCUGAUGCAGCCAUGCCGCGUGUAUGAAGAAGGCCUUCGGGUUGUAAAGUACUUUCAGCGGGGAGGCGUUACCCGCAGAAGAAGCACCGGCUAACUCCGGGCCAGCAGCCGCGGUAAUAC